AGAACGAACGCUGGCGGCAGGCUUAACACAUGCAAGUCGAACGCACCGCAAGGUGAGUGGCAGACGGGUGAGUAACGCGUGGGAAUCUACCUAGCUCUUCGGAAUAGCUCCGGGAAACUGGAAUUAAUACCGAGUACGCCCUACGGGGGAAAGAUUUAUCGGAGUUAGAUGAGCCCGCGUUGGAUUAGCUAGUUGGUGGGGUAAUGGCCUACCAAGGCGACGAUCCAUAGCUGGUCUGAGAGGAUGAUCAGCCACACUGGGACUGAGACACGGCCCAGACUCCUACGGGAGGCAGCAGUGGGGAAUAUUGGACAAUGGGCGCAAGCCUGAUCCAGCCAUGCCGCGUGAGUGAUGAAGGCCCUAGGUUGUAAAGCUCUUUCAGUGGGGAAGAUAAUGACGUACCCACAGAAGAAGCCCCGGCUAACUUCGCGCCAGCAGCCGC
rnacentral:rRNA from 1 species